rnacentral:rRNA from 1 species
ACGGGUGAGUAAUGUCUGGGAAACUGCCUGAUGGAGGGGGAUAACUACUGGAAACGGUAGCUAAUACCGCAUAAUGUCGCAAGACCAAAGAGGGGGACCUUCGGGCCUCUUGCCAUCGGAUGUGCCCAGAUGGGAUUAGCUAGUAGGUGGGGUAACGGCUCACCUAGGCGACGAUCCCUAGCUGGUCUGAGAGGAUGACCAGCCACACUGGAACUGAGACACGGUCCAGACUCCUACGGGAGCAGCAUG